GGCGAGAUGGCCGAGCGGUCUAAGGCGCCACGUUAAGGAUUUCCUUAAUAACAUCAAUCUCUCGAGAGUGAUUCCGUGGUCCGAAAGGGCGUGGGUUCGAAUCCCACUCUCGUCA